rnacentral:tRNA from 1 species
CUGGGUAUAAUUCAGUAGGUAGAAUGCUAGGUUUGGGACCUAGAUGUCGUGUGUUCGAGCCACACUACCCAGA